CUACAGACUUAAUUGGAUUGAGCCUUGGUAUGGAAACUUGCCAAAUAAAAACUUUCAAAUUCAGAGAAAUCUUGAAUUAAAAUGGGCAAUCCUAAGCUAGAUCAUUUUUUUCAAAAACAAAUAAAUAAAAGUUCAGAAAGUGAAAAUAGAAAAAAGAUAGGUGCAGAGACUCGAUGGAAGCUUUUUCU
rnacentral:sRNA from 1 species